rnacentral:rRNA from 1 species
GCGCCAGGGAAUUACGAGCAAUGCUUAAAACCCAAAGGAUUUGACGGUAUCCCAUCCACCUAGAGGAGCCUGUUCUAUAAUCGAUAACCCCCGCUACACCCAACCACUCCUAGCCUAUCAGCCUGUAUACCUCCGUCGAAAGCCUACCAUGUGAAUGUUUUCAGUAAGCUUAAUGUCCCCAUCAAAACGUCAGGUCAAGGUGCAGCUCAUGGAAUGGAAAGCAAUGGGCUACAAUUUCUAAUUUAGAACAUACGAAAAACUAGGUGAAAUCCUAGUCAUGAAGGCGGAUUUAGCAGUAAAAAGAAAAUAGAGUGUUCUUUUUAACCCGGCCCUGGGAUGUGUACACACCGCCCGUCACCCUCUUCGACUACUACAAACACUGUUUCAUAACUCCCUUUCCCCCACCCUAGAAGAGGCAAGUCGUAACAUGGUAAGUGUACUGGAAAGUGCACUUGGCUAAUUA